CUCCUGGAAAACGGGUGGUAAUGCCGGAUGCUCCAGUUGACCGCAUGGUCCUCUGGGAAAGCUUUUGCGGUAUGGGAUGGGGUCGCGUCCUAUCAGCUUGAUGGCGGGGUAACGGCCCACCAUGGCUUCGACGGGUAGCCGGCCUGAGAGGGCGACCGGCCACAUUGGGACUGAGAUACGGCCCAGACUCCUACGGGAGGCAGCAGUGGGGAAUAUUGCACAAUGGGCGCAAGCCUGAUGCAGCGACGCCGCGUGCGGGAUGACGGCCUUCGGGUUGUAAACCGCUUUUGACUGGGAGCAAGCCCUUCGGGGUGAGUGUACCUUUCGAAUAAGCACCGGCUAACUACGUGCCAGCAGCCGCGGUAAUACGUAGGGUGCAAGCGUUAUCCGGAAUUAUUGGGCGUAAAGGGCUCGUAGGCGGUUCGUCGCGUCCGGUGUGAAAGUCCAUCGCUUAACGGUGGAUCCGCGCCGGGUACGGGCGGGCUUGAGUGCGGUAGGGGAGACUGGAAUUCCCGGUGUAACGGUGGAAUGUGUAGAUAUCGGGAAAGAACACCA
rnacentral:rRNA from 1 species